AUUGAACGCUGGCGGCAGGCCUAACACAUGCAAGUCGAACGGUAACAGGAAGCAUCUUGCUGCUUCGCUGACGAGUGGCGGACGGGUGAGUAAUGUCUGGGAAGCUGCCUGAUGGAGGGGGAUAACUACUGGAAACGGUAGCUAAUACCGCAGAAUGUCUCAAGCCCAAAGAGGGGGACCUUCGGUCCUCUUGCCAUCGGAUGUGCCCAGAUGGGAUUAGCUUGUGGGUGGGGUAACGGCUCACCAAGUCGACGAUCCCGAGCUGGUCUGAGAGGAUGACCAGCCACACUGGAAGUGAGCCACGGUCCAGACUACUACGGGAGGCAUCAGUGGGGAAUAUUGCACAAUGGGCGCAAGCCUGGUGCAGCCAUGGCGAGUGUAUGAAGAAGGCCUUCGGGUUGUAAAGUACUUUCAGCGGGGAGGAAGGGAGUAAAGUUAAUACCUUUGCUCAUUGACGUUACCCGCAGAAGAAGCACCGGCUAACUCCGUG
rnacentral:rRNA from 1 species